rnacentral:rRNA from 1 species
CCUGAGAGGGUGAUCGGCCACACUGGGACUGAGACACGGCCCAGACUCCUACGGGAGGCAGCAGUAGGGAAUCUUCCGCAAUGGACGAAAGUCUGACGGAGCAACGCCGCGUGAGUGAUGAAGGUUUUCGGAUCGUAAAGCUCUGUUGUUAGGGAAGAACAAGUACCGUUCGAAUAGGGCGGUACCUUGACGGUACCUAACCAGAAAGCCACGGCUAACUACGUGCCAGCAGCCGCGGUAAUACGUAGGUGGCAAGCGUUGUCCGGAAUUAUUGGGCGUAAAGGGCUCGCAGGCGGUUUCUUAAGUCUGAUGUGAAAGCCCCCGGCUCAACCGGGGAGGGUCAUUGGAAACUGGGGAACUUGAGUGCAGAAGAGGAGAGUGGAAUUCCACGUGUAGCGGUGAAAUGCGUAGAGAUGUGGAGGAACACCAGUGGCGAAGGCGACUCUCUGGUCUGUAACUGACGCUGAGGAGCGAAAGCGUGGGGAGCGAACAGGAUUAGAUACCCUGGUAGUCCACGCCGUAAACGAUGAGUGCUAAGUGUUAGGGGGUUUCCGCCCCUUAGUGCUGCAGCUAAC